GACACCACACAGACGGCGAGUGGCCAGGCCCAAAUGAGGGAGGUCCUGAGGUCGAUCUCUCCCUCUCCUCCCUCUUCCUCAAAGCCAUAAAGCCACAGAUCCUCCAGACUCACCCUAUGCUUCAGACGGUAGCUAGCACUGGAUCUAAAUGAGAGACAGAGAGAGAGAGACAGACAGAGAGAGACAGAGAAAGAGAAAGAGAAAGAGAAAGAGAAAGAGAAAAAAAGAAAGAGAAAGAGAGACAGAAGGAGAAGCUUAGGUGGCCGUGAUGGAAUAUGAAGACUAGUAGGCCUGACUAGGACUGCAUCUCUGCUCAUCAGGACUAGAUAACUCCACUUCUCUAUCCAAUGGCUUCUAUAGGUACUAAUGUAUUCCUCAUUAUUGUCUGUCUGUCUGUCUGUCUGUCUGUCUGUCUGUCUGUCUGUCUGUCUGUCUGUCUGUCUGUCUGUCUGUCUGUCUGUCUGUCUGUCUGCUCGUGAGGAGGAAGGCACACUCUCAUGGCCUAGGUCACCAUUUUUGAUUUGCUACGAAAUUCAAAUUGUCACCUUGUCGCGUGUGGAUCCACAGACCUACGCAUUUACUGUAUGACUGGUCGUGGAAACAUUUUGUGAUUUUGUGUAGAGCCUAGAAUCAAAGUGUUCCGGUAAUCAGGGUCCAUUCAGGCAAAGUAAAUAGAAUGGAAAGUGGUUGCAUCCAAAAUGGCACCCUAUUUCCUCCCUGUGAGCUCUAGUCAAAGUACGGUUGUGCACUAUAGAGAAAAUAAGGUGCCAUUUGGGAAACAGAAUCGAUGGAAGGUGGGAUGGGGGAGAGAGAGAUGGGAGGAAGAGAGGAAGGAAAUUGAGGUUACAUAAUUAUACUGGUUAGUGAGGAAAUCUACACACAAUACCUCAUAAUGACAAAGUGAAAAUGUGUUUUUAUAAAUUUUUUAAAAUGUAUUGAAAAUGAAAUGCAGAAAAAUCUAAUUUACAUAAGUAUUCACACCCCUGAGUAAAUACAUGUUAGAAUCACCUUUGGAAGCGAUUACAGCUGUGAGUCUUUCUGGGUAAGGCUCUAAGAGCUUUCCACACCUGGAUUUUACAAUAUUUGCACAUGGUUAUUUUUAAAAUUCUUCAAGCUCUGUCAAGUUGGUUGUUGAUAAUUGCUAGACAACCAUUUUCAGGUCUUGCCAUAGAUUUUCAAGCUGAUAUAAUUCAAAACUGCAAGUAGGCCACUCAGGAACAUUAGAGGUCAGGGAAGAUGUCAGUGACCUGGAGUGUGGUGCCGGGAACAACAACCUCUCCCUCAACUUCAGUAAGACCAAGGAGCUGAUUGUGGACUAGAUGAAACGGGGGGGCGAGCACACCUCCAUCUACAUCGACAGGCCGCCGCGGAGAAGGUCGACAGCUUCAAGUUCCUCACUAGAGACUUAAAAUGGUCCUAACACACGCACAGUUGUUAAGGCGCCUCUUCCCCCUCAGGAGGUUGAAAAAGUUUGGCAUGGGCCCUCAAAUCUUCAAAAAGUUCUACAACUGUACUAUUGAGAGCAUUUUGACUGUCUGCAUCUGUUACGGAUACAGUUAUCCUGUGUGUGUGUAUCCUGUGUGUGUUUCUUUUCUCUCCUUCUCCCCUCACAGGUGAAAAUCAUCACUCCCCAAUCAGUCAACAAUCAAAAGACACACAUCCUCCUAUUUCCUAACCUAUCACAGUUCCUUCCCCAUGGUUUAAAAACCCCAUAAUUUGUUUGUUCUAGAGCUCAAUCUCUCUGUAAAUGCCAUGUUUGUAGGUCUCUGUGUUUCACUCUCGCUUUGUGUCUUAACCUCUCUUUUGUUUAAGCACCUCAUAGCACCUUGUCAUCACCUCUUAGAGAUGACGAUCAUGUCGCUGAAGAGGAAGAGUUGUCUCUCUCUGGUCUUCAUUCCCUCUGUGAUCUGAACACAGGCAUCCAAGACCAGCUCUACAUUCUCACUGCUGAGACAAAGGACGAAGGGGCAUCCAAGACCAGCUCUGCAUUCUCACUGCUGAGACAAAGGACGAAGGGGCAUCCAAGACCAGCUCUGCAUUCUCACUGCUGAGACCAAGGACGAAGGGGCACAGACACAAAGCACUGAGUCUCCUCCCUAGGGUAGAGGGCAGAGAGAGUGGGGGGUCAAAACCAUGGCGGAACCGUGUGUGCCUGUGUGUGUGAUCAGCCUUCCAUCCCACUUGUACCCAUUCAUCAAGACACAGAUCAGUCUUGGACAUAACUGAGGGCCAGUUUUUAACUAUGCCUCAUGAACAUUUUGUCUCGUGAACACUUUGCCUCGUGAACACUUUGCCUCAUGAACACUUUGCCUCAUGAACACUUUGCCUCAUGAACACUUUGCCUCAUGAACAUUUUGCCUCAUGAGCAUUUCAAAUCAUUUUGUUAUUCUUUCUUCAUAAUAUUUUCAUGAAAUGUCAUAGUUUGGUUUGUAGGGGUGUGACAGUAAAACCUUAAUUUCUGUCACAUAUACUCCCUCUCCGGCACUCGAGGUCACCAGGCUGCUCAUUAUUACACACACCUAUCACCAUCGUCAUGCCCACCAGCCACUCAUCAGACUCACCUGGACUCCAUCACCUGCCUGAUGUCACUCCCUUUGGUUCUUUCCCCAGGCAGUAUUGUUUCUGUUCCAGUGUUCAUGUCUGUACACUACCUGUGUCUCUUGUUUUGUUCUAUGUUAAUUUAUUUAUUAAAUACACUCCCUGGACUUGCUUCCCGACUCCCAGCGAACACGUUACACUUUCAAAGUAGGAGGUUAUAGUUUGUUACACUAAAGCCUUUAUUUCAAAGUAGAAGGUCAGUCAUUCCAACACUCAGGGCCUAUGCUACCCUUGGAUCAAUGCUAGAUAAGCUUUUCAUAACGGUUUUAUUAUUUUAUAUUUUUAUUAAAGUACAAAGACAGUAUUUUAAUGCUUUAUUUAGACAGAUUGGGAUAUAGACGAAAAAGGAAGGCACUCUCUCUCUCUCUCUCUCACACACCCUCACUAACACCCACAGUUUCCCUCUGACCUUCAGGACUUUUUCUUGCCUCCCACAGUUGUGAAUAAGAAAGAGGAUGUUACAUGCAAUUUUUAUGUUUUGUUAUGUUUGUCAUCUUUUUUAGAGACCUAAUAUAUCUUCUAAUUUGUUACAUGUUUCCCUGUAUAAACAAAAACAUUCACUGUU